GGUAAUGGCCGGGAUAGCUCACU
rnacentral:tRNA from 1 species